rnacentral:lncRNA from 1 species
CUGGGAGCCAUUAGCCAAGUAGGUAUGACAAUUUCCUUGCCAGCGUACCCCAUGUUGCAGUGACAUUGAAUGUACGUGACCUUGCUCAAGGACCAAGGCAGAUUAGGGUGUUCCCGGUUUUAAGAUAAUCGUGUUUAGGGCGUUCCCAGUUUAGGUUCCAGGUUUAAGGUUUAAGAUUAUUCCUGCUGGGAAUAGGGCGUAUCCUGCUGCCUGAGUUCCCCUUAAGUUCUCACGGGAUUCAGACAGUAUAUUUUGGAGAUAGAAGCCCAGUGGAGGUGGAUUUGGGCAGAGAACGUGGAUUUGGGCAGAGAACGUGGAUUUCUCCAGAACGUGAUUGUAGACGGCUGGUGUGAGUUCGGGAAUAAAGAGUUGCUGUUUGAAUCUACAAGCUGUGCGGUGGCUCGUGAUUGUGUGCCCAGCCAGACUGCGGCAUUUGUGCCCAGCCAGACUGCGGCACUUAACCACUGAGCCACCUCCCCAGCUCAGUGAUUAAUUUUGAAACAGAGUCUCAGUAAAUUGCUGAAGGUCUUUCUAAAUUGCCUUGACUGGCCUCAACUUGCAAUCCUCCUGCCUCAGACUCCCAAAUUGCUGGGAUUAUAGGUGUGAGCCAUCACCCUGGCUACCCUCUAACUUGUAUCAUUUUUUUUUUAAAAGAGAGAGAGAGAGAAUUUUAAUAUUUAUUUUUUAGUUUUCGGCAGACACAACAUCUCUGUUUGUAUGUGGUGCUGAGGAUCGAACCCGGGCUGCACGCAUGCCAGGCGAGCGUGCUACCGCUUGAGCCACAUCCCCAGCCCUUGUAUCAUUCUUAUAUGCCGACUGGCUUUGUGUUUGUAGCCAGGUCUAGAACAAGAAUAAACUUGUCAGGAUGUAAUUGGAACUGUACCUUCGCUUGCCUUCCAUUGACCCAUAACUUGUGGAAGAACUUCCCCUUGUCCCUGGAGGAGGAUCUAGCAGUUCCCUGACUCUUCUGCUCAGCCUCAGAUACCAAGUUCUACGUUCACUUUAAGUUGGUG